rnacentral:tRNA from 1 species
GCCUCGAUAGCUCAGUUAGGAGAGCGUCAGACUGAGAUCUGAAGGUCCCUGGUUCGAUCCCGGGUCGCGGCA